UAUGUGAUCGUCUCUCGCAUAUCAAUAAGCGGAGGAAAAGAAACUAACAAGGAUUCCCCUAGUAACGGCGAGUGAAGCGGGAAGAGCUCAAAUUUGAAAUCUUAAAGGGUUUCCCUUUACGAAUUGUAGUUUAAAGAAGUGUUUUCUGCUGAGGUUUUGGUAAAAGUUCUUUGGAAUAGGACAUCAUAGAGGGUGAGAAUCCCGUAUUUGACCUUUACUUUCAACUUUGUGAUACACUUUCAAAGAGUCGGAUUGUUUGGGAAUGCAGUCCAAAAUGGGUGGUAAAUUUCAUCUAAAGCUAAAUAUUGGCGAGAGACCGAUAGCGAACAAGUACCGUGAGGGAAAGAUGAAAAGAACUUUGAAAAGAGAGUUAAACAGUACGUGAAAUUGUCAAAAGGGAAGCGUUUGACAUCCAGUGUUGUUUUUCUGAAAAUCAAUUAAAGAACUGUUUAUGCUAAGUUGUUUAGACUUUAUCAGCUAACUGUUUAGUUUUGAGCUUUUCUUUAAUGCACUUUUCAGUUAACAAGUCAACAUCAAUUUCUUUUGCUGUAAAAAAGCUUGAGGAAGGUGGCUUGAGAUUCGUCUUAAGUGUUUAUAGCCUCUUGCCUAUGCAGUCGGAGAGAUUGAGGUCUGCAGCGUAGAUCCUUCGGGGCUAAAUGCAUUUGUGCUAAGUUAUAGCAUUUUAUAGACAACUUGUUGACUAUGAUUUGUCUUGUAGCUUACUCGCUUAUGUUAUUUUACCUACGCUUAGGAUGUUGAACGCGCACAGAGUCUC
rnacentral:rRNA from 1 species